rnacentral:rRNA from 1 species
CUAGUAACGGCGAGUGAAGCGGCAACAGCUCAAAUUUGAAAUCUGGCGUCUUUGGCGUCCGAGUUGUAAUUUGCAGAGGAUGCUUCUAGGUAGUCAUCAGUCUAAGUUCCUUGGAACAGGACGUCACAGAGGGUGAGAAUCCCGUAUGUGACUGACAGGCGCCUUCUACGUAGCUCCUUCGACGAGUCGAGUUGUUUGGGAAUGCAGCUCUAAAUGGGAGGUAAAUUUCUUCUAAAGCUAAAUAUCUGCCAGAGACCGAUAGCGCACAAGUAGAGUGAUCGAAAGAUGAAAAGCACUUUGGAAAGAGAGUUAAAAAGCACGUGAAAUUGUUGAAAGGGAAGCGUUUAUUACCAGACUUGUUGGCGGUAUUCACCUGGUCUUUUGGCUGGGCUACUUGCCGUCUGCAGGCCAGCAUCAUCUGAGGCCGUGGGAUAAUAGUUAUGGAAUGUAGCUCCUCGGAGUGUUAUAGCCAGAACUGAUGCCACGAGCUUCGGGUGAGGUCCGCGCAUUGCUAGGAUGCUG